rnacentral:tRNA from 1 species
AAUUUUCUGAUGACUCUCCUCUUUUGCUUUUCAAUGUGAAUUAAAACGAGCGGUGCAAAUCA